GAAAGUUCCCAAACGUUACAAAAAGUUCAUACUUUCAGCAAUUUUGAGAAAUUCAUGGAACAUUUCCAAAUCAGACUAAAUAUUCCAUUUGGCAAAUUUAAUUAGAUAUAUUUUUCGCAGUUGAAAAUAACAUUUAAAAUUAGAAUUCCAUUAAUCAGACCUGCAGAACACAAGAGAAAGAAUAGUCAGAUGCAAAGUUAAACAUCAAGAAAAUCCGAAUUUACCUUAAAAAUAGGAAACCAAACUAUAAAAAUUAAUUGGAUAAAUUCUGAGCAACAUAAAGCAAACAACAAGAAAAACAAUUAAAAUUUACCACCAAAAAUUAUGAAAAACAAACCAUAUAUUAUUAAAAAAAAAAACACAUAAAAGAUAAUCAAAAUUAGGCUAAAUUUAUAAUCAAAACCAAUAUCAAACUUAACAAAAUCAACAAAAUCAAGUUUUCUGACCAAAAUCUUCAAAAUUCUCCAUUAGACUUCAAAUUAUAAGAAUUUAAUGGAUAUUGGCCAUCAAAUAGAGUUCCCCUUCGUGCAUCAACAGAAUGCCAAACGCUGAAAUGUAUGGAAAAUUCGAAUGAAAUUCCAAACUGGCUUUCACUUAAAAGUAUUCCAUUCGACUUACCAUCAGAACAAAGCAUACUUCGAAACUAUAUUCUCAUAUUCCUUCUGAUAAAACUUUAAAAAAUAUCUCCUUAAUUCGAAAUAAGACAUCACUUAUAAAAACUCUUCAGCGUAAUCAAUUAGAAAGCUUUAAAAAUGUAAAGACAUAAAUUAACAUUCAAGACAAUAACUUAUCGCCUUAUUUGAAACAUACAUUAUGACCUACUGAAAUAUCUUAUUUAUCUUUAACCUCCAAAACAUGCUUCAACGAAAUUCCUCUUUGCUCAAACUUAAAUUGAAUGUAUGGCUAUCAUGAAAAACAUUUUUUGCUUGCCUUUAAAAAAGUAUAAAUUAAUUUUUAACCAACUUCUUGAAUCAAAAAGCACGGCGCAAUCACACAUUAAUCACGUAAAAUUAAUAAUGAAACUUUACCAAUGAGCAAAAUCAUAAUUCAAAGAAAAAAAUAAUUUGCCAACUUUAGAAACAAAACCAUAAAUAUUUGUUCGACAAAAGCUUUAUUUUAAACAAAAACAAAAAUAACAUAAAAAUCAUCAUUCUAGAAAACAUUUUUAAAUUCCUUUCAAACAAAAAACAGUUUAGAACCAUUCCGAAUAGAGAAUCAAGAGUGAUUUAAUGCUUUUCAAAUACAUUUUUUUUUUAAAUGUAAUCCUUUUAAAACUUUGGGCUUUAAUGCUUUCGGUAAAUUCCACAACUUCGUUUAAAAUAUUACAAAUAUUACAGUUUUUAUUAAUCUAAUUCUGAGAAAAUUUUAAAAGUUUAGGUUUAAAAAAACAAUUCUCAUUCAAAUUAUAUUGUUUAUUCUGUGAAGUUUAUUAAACUCAAAAGUCAAUAUCUAAAACAUCAAAAACUAUUUAUAAAAAAGUCACAAAAUUCGAAUCGUCCAUCCAAUUCUGAUAAAAUUUUAUAUGUUGAGGUUUCAAAACACAAUUCUCACUCAAAUUAUAUUAUUUAUUCUCUGAAGUUUAUUACAUUCAAAAGUAAAUAUCUCAAACAUCAAAAACUAUUUAUAGAAGUGUCACAAAAUUCCAAUCUUUCAUAUCGAAAACCAAACCCAUCUUAUCUCAAAUGGAAAUCUCCUCAAUCCAAAAGUAAAUAGGCAACUUCCGAAGAGUAAAACAUUUAAAAAUAGUAUAUAGAAGAAGCACGACGAAUUUUUACUGUCUCGACAUUCGUAUUAACAUUUAUUUAUCAAAAUUAUUUAAUUUUAGAAACUGAAACACUAGAAAUCCAAAAUUCAAACUUUCAACUUUCGGCUCCUCUCUGGCAAACAUCAAAAUCCGAAAAUCGAAAACCAAAAUUCCAACAAAAUUAAAACACAAUUCCAUCAAAAUUGCACCACUGACCGGCCACAAAAUUCAAAAUCCAAAUUAAAUUUAAAGCUUUCCCAAAAACACUUAGAGCAGGUAAACCGACUAUUAGCUCAAGACACAAAAUAAAAUAUCCAAAACUAAAGAAUCAACAAAAGAAAAGCGAAAAGAAAAAUACUAUAGAUCGAUGCUGAUGGCUGACCAAAAGAAAACCAAAACGAGAAAAACAAAAUCGAGAAAAUCCAAAAUUCAAAACCCGAGCUCCAAACCAGCCAACACACACAAAAAGAAAUCCAAUUGAAAAUUGCCAAAAAUUACCAAAAAAUUAUCAAAAAGAAAACAAAUGUCGCGACAUUCGCAAGGAAUCCUUCGGUGCAUAAUUAUGGCCACAUUACGAUGAUUAAGUACGCCCGUGGACAGUUCUGAAAACAAAAAGCAAAGCCAAAAAACAAAACACGAAAAGCGAAAACCGAAAAAAGAAGAAAGAAAUUCCAGCAAAAUUCCAAAAAGGCAGCAUUAUAAAUUACAAGAAAUUGCGGAAGUUUUAAUGCGACAAAAUGUCAGGAGCAAAAGCAAAAAGGAACCCGCGCGCUGGCAAGCAAAAGACGCGACAGGGACAGGCCACCAAAACAGGACGAGGGCAGGACAGGGGGAGGCUGACUGGCUGGCAAAAUGCUGGCCAACUUUCUGGCCCAAAAUCUUACAAAUGGCGGCCCGAGAGCUCGAGAGAGGCCGCCACUCGACUCGGUAGAUAAAUCACAGCGAAACAAAACAAUUCCGCAGCUCUCCGCAGCGACCAAAAAUCCACAAAAACACAAACCAGAAUCGGUAUCCGAAUCAGAACAGAAUCCGAAUCCAGACCAAGAGACAAAGACAAAGAACACGCGAUUUCAAAGAACUUUUUGCCUUGAUGAAGGCGCAGAUGGGGUUAAAGCUGGUCCAUAAAAAGGAACAGUUGAGCAUAAAGAGGCAUAAACAAAAUUUCAUAAACUAUAAAACCCCAAGCACACCCACCGCAGUUAGCCCAAGAUUCGACCGAUGACCACUUUGAUGGCCUCCAGGGACAGGCCGCCUCAAGAGCAUUACUUUCGCUCGAAGGCCGCCAUACAAAUAUCACAAAGAUGAAAACCAUUCCGAGCCGUUCAGAGCUAUGAAAACUAUCAAAACUUAACCCAAAUUCAAUUCGAAUCAAAAUCAGCAUCGCAAACAAAAUGAAGGCACAACCAGCACAACUUCCAGUUUCUGAACUUUAAGUAAUAUUUCGAGACGAGUGUCACACGCACACGGCAGAAAAAGCAGAAACCCCCGCCCUACUCCAGACACACACCCAAACACACCCCAGCUACCGUUCAGACCUUUCAAAUUGUGGUCAGGCGAGAGGUUUCUUUGGCAAAAGUUCGAACCAUCAUCAUCUGUAACAUUCAGAAAAACUCCACCAGCAUCAGCAUCAGCAUCAGCAUCGACAUCAGCAUCAUGCAGUUGAAAGCACAUCAAACAAAACUUCAAAUUUAUAUAAACUACUGGCAAUAGUCGAGGUCGAGGCAUAAUUGCCAUCAAUAAAUAAAAUAUGGCUGGGCAGGGGAGCCACCAGCACCAGCAAGAGCAACAGCAACAGACCAGAGCAACAGCAGCAAGAGCAAAGCAGACCCCGAAGAGACACCAAUCCUGACAAUCCCUUUCCCAGAUACAGCCCCAAACUUCAGCAGCAAGCACUCAAUGGCCACUAGACAGCAGCAGAGCAGAGCACAUUUUGAUUUAUAAAUUCAUGGCGAAAGUUGCCAGGCCAAGCGGCAGCCGACGCCACCCAACCCACCAAUCCACUCAAUCGCCACACGAUGACGAAACACACACACGCACCACCAACUCCACCACCUAGAGACUUGGCAGCAAAGCAACAAGAAAAUGCAAAAACCGUCUUAUGAAAUUACACAUUUCCGACUUGUACUAACAGCAGCAGAAAGAGAAAAAAAAGCACCCAAAAAACAACAUCCAAGCCGAAGCCAAACCGAACAUUUAGCAGCAGUGAGCAAACCCUACCCGUCCCCCCAUAAUAACCAAAACGUACCGAAAGAAACCCCUUAUGAUACGGCGACUAACUAGCCGAGAAAUUUAGUUAUGCAGGGACCAGGAAAAUCGAAAGUAGACAUUCCAUAUUUGGCCAGGAAAAUGCACGUUUCGGGCAAUUUGGAAAUUUGCAACAUCAUUGAGACGCGCAGCAGACGCGAGAAGCAACCACAAAAAGUAGCAAAUGGAAUCUUGUACAAUAGUUCUAUUGAAAAUCAUAUAUAAAAAACCGACCCCCAUUCCAGACUCACGAUCUAUAAGAGAUCCAAGACAGAGAAAGAUAUAUAAACAGGAGAUAUACAUAGUGAAUAUAUAGAAAGAGAGACAGAUAGAUAGAGAUAGUUAGAGAGCAAAGCAACACAAAACAGAUUUAGAGAAAAAACAACAUAGAGAGAAAGAUAAAAAACAUUUCGGACACAAGGUGGGGAUACCUAGUGUAAUUGCUUAGUCUUAAGAGUGCUGCACUUGCAACGGAACAGAAACCAAGUGCAGGACUGACUGACCCAUGACCCACCCAUUACUUUCACCACAGACCUCCCCAUUACUGGCCCCACACCCCACCCCACAUAUAUUCUAAAUGAAAAAUGAAUACCCUUUGGGCAGCUGACAACACAAAUGUGAUCAGAAAUUUGAUUCAGAAACGCAUAAACUUAGGCCAUUCUAGACCCUAAAAAAAUAAAUAAUCAGAUAUAAGCAACAUAUAAUAAGCGUGAAUCGUACAAUGUAACUACACUCUGUAUCCCCUUAGUUAAGCUACAAAUUAAAAUGCAAAAAGUAUCGAAAAGGGCCCCAAAACAAAAACAAACAAAAACUAAAUGUAGAUAAUGCCAAUCCUUUUGCCUAAAAUGUCAGUUCUUGUUUUAGACGAAACGAUUGUGGCAUUUUUUAUGUGAUUUUUAUAUAAACAUUCAUGUACACACAAACACACCCCAAGACACAUAUACACACACACACGUAUAGUUUUACAUAUUGUAUAAUUUAUUUCGAUAUUCUCGCUACUAUCAUUAUCUUCGUACAGCUUCAGAUUUCAGUUAUAAUUUCAGUUCUUCUUUCGACACCAUAAAUUGUGAUAAGCAAAAGCAUUCUGGAAGACAAAAAGCAAAAGCAAAAAGCAAACCAAAAUCAAAACUGUGUUAAUCCCCAUCUUUGAAAGAUCUAUGACAAAACCACAUACAUGCAUUCACACAUACAUAAAUUGUUUCUCUUUAAGUAAAUUUAAAUAUUCGAAUAAUUCAUGUGGCCCAAAAAGUUUAAUCAAGUUUUGAAAGAAAUUCCUUCAUUUUGUAUAAAAAUAUUAUUUUGAAACCAAACAAAAAUCACACACAAAACACAUCGCUACCAUUAGACAUAUUCGUAAAAUUAGUUAAAAAUACUACGUACAAAAAACACAAAACUAAAACAAAAAUCAAUAAAAUUGUACAAGCCAAUUUGCUCAAAUAACAAAACAAAAC
rnacentral:lncRNA from 1 species